UACGUAGGGGGCAAGCGUUGUCCGGAAUCAUUGGGCGUAAAGAGCGUGUAGGCGGCCAGAAAAGUCCGCUGUGAAAACUCGAGGCUCAACUUCGAGCUGUCGGUGGAAACUUUCUGGCUAGAGUCCGGAAGAGGAGAACGGAAUUCCUGGUGUAGCGGUGAAAUGCGCAGAUAUCAGGAGGAACACCGGUGGCGAAGGCGGUUCUCUGGGCCUGUACUGACGCUGAGGAACGAAAGCGUGGGGAGCGAACAGG
rnacentral:rRNA from 1 species